AGCUCUUCGAGGGCGCGCUGGGACCCGCUGUGCCCCCGCGCACGCGCUCCCAUGCCUGCUGCCCCUUAGGGUGUAGCCUUUAGAGAUCACCCCCGGACUACCGAAAGCGCCGCUUGCUCAUCCUGCCUCUCUUGGUUUGGAAUUUAGUUACUUGAGGGUACCCAACUGGUACUAUGGUUGAAGAUGUGUCAUCCUGUGUUUCUGAAGUCCAUGAAGAUGCUGUAAUAAACCUGGGGUUCUUCUCUAUCCAAUCAAGAUUAAUGAGGACAGUACUUAGCAACAAAAAAGAGCUACUGACGCAUGUAACCACAUGGAACAUCUAAAAGAUCAAAUCAAGGAUGUUGCACAUGCCAGCCUAGUGUUCUGGUACUGAACUUCAUUCCCAGUCAUUGGCUGCCUUUCUAGGUAGCGAACUUCUCUUUGCAACAGAUGGAGACCAUUACAGAGAACCACAACCAAUGAAAAUGCCAAGACAAAUAAUGAUGUGGUACCCAGUCCCAACUGAUGCAUCUACAACACAAAUCCUGCACCUACUGCUCAAGGAUCAUUGCAGAAAUAUUGUAAAAAGCCAGAGGAACAGGGCAUUUGCUGUGAGAUCUUAUCUCCUAGAAAUGUCAGAAGUUACACCCAUCUAUUUCACCAACGUGACUGCCUAACCAUGAGCUGAACAAGAGUAAGAACAGUAGACAUGCUAAUGUGGAAGGGGAAAGCUCAUGCAGCCUCAACCCUACCCCAAAACUACAGGCAACUAAGGAAUGCUGAAAGCAGGAGAAACAAUCUUCCCCAGGGAAGAGCACAGCAAUGGCUUCUCCAAUACCAAACGGUCAACCCCCAAAAUGUAUAAAUAUAAGUAACGGUAUAUAGACUGAAUAGAUUAUAUUAAGGAACACAAGACACACAACACCAAUACCACCAUCACCAAAACAAUAACAACAACAAUAAUUAAAGAAAAAGAGCCCAUGAAUUUGAAUGAAAGGGUUUGGAACAAGGAAGGGAAAGGGGAAAGUAAUGUAAUUAGGAUCUCACAAAUUAUUUAUUAAAAGGAAGUGAGAUCAAAACCUUCAACCUAAUUACUGGGAAACAAUGAAAUCUCAACAUGUGUGUAAGUGAAUCAUGAAUUAGUACCAGCAGUGCCCCGAGUCUUAUUUCCCUAACUCCUACCUGUCCUCUCUCACAGGCCUGGGCUGGGACUUCAUUUAUCACCUCAUUUCCACUGCCCUUUCUCUGUGAGGGUACAUGAUGAUACUUCAGCACCCUACAUGUCAAUUUCACCUCAAGACUCCCCUAUCCCUCAAUAUCCCCUGAAGACUCACAGCUCAUUGGCCCAGCCCAGUUUAUGGCCUUGCCUUGUUUCUAGGUUAACUCACAGGCAAAUGAAUCCUCUUGACUUUUGCCAUUGAAAGAAAACCCUUGCUUCUCCAAGAAUAGCAUUCUGCAUCCCCUGUCUUAGCAAGCUGCCAUUAAAUAAUACCACUGACUAGUUUCUAGCGGGUAGGAGGAUAAGGUCAGGUGACAGUAUGGGUGGGGCUCCAGUGUGCAUCAUCUUCUGGGUUGUAGAUGAUCUUCUCUCUGUGUCCUUACAUGUGGGAAUAGACAUUCAAGGUCACAGACACAGAGACACUCACACAGAAGAGAGAGAGAGAUGGAGGCAGACAGACAGGCAGAGGCAAGGAGAGGUACAGCAACUCUGGUGACUCAUAUAUCAAGAGCUAUGUAGACUCUGCUCUCAUGACUCCAUGUCUAAUUGAAACUCAGAGCCCUACCUACCUCCUAGUAACUUAGCAUAAGGGAUCAGAGCUUCAGCAUGUGAGUUUUGAGGUAGAAAUAGAAGCAUUUGAUAUGUAGCAGCUGUGAAUAUGGAAAAGGAUUGUAGUUGUGUAAUAAUCACAAAAUAAACAGGAAAGGCGGUACACCUCUCUCAUGGAGCUGAGGCUGGUUAUUGGACUCUAGGAGACAGGAUCUAAUUUAUAGUAUGAUGCUGCUUCCUAUGAAAACUGGCAAUGGUAGGGUUUUCAGAGCAUUAUGAAUGCAGUUGAUGCUGAGGCUAUUGGUAGCACUGGGAAUAUUGGAAGUGUGGAAAUGUUGGGAAAGUAGAGAGGGAUGAGGAAUUGGGAGUAUUGGGGAUGCUGAAAAUAUUCAGAGACCUGGGUGUCUUGGAAAAUGCUGAGAUUCUGAGAAUAUUGGGGGCAUUAGAAAAUGGAGCAUGCUGAAGGAAGUUUGAAAUGUUGAGAAUAUCGGAAAUUGUAAGACAUAGAUUGUUGGAAACACUGGGAACUUAUGUGAUGUUGAGAAUAUGGGAGUGUUAAAGAAUGUUGCCUCCAUUACUACAGAACAUUUGGUUCUGUAGUAACCCAUAAAGUGUAGUACUUCUGCCCUUAGAAUGUUCUUCAAGUGCUGAAAGUGUGUUGUCCAUAAGUUCCUUCCUUUCUACCUCCUUCCCUCCUUCCUUCCCUUUUAUUCUCUUGACCUCUUCCUUCCUUCCUUUCUUUCUCUCUUUCUUUCUUUCCUUCUCUCUUCCUUCUUUCUCUCUCUUUCUUU